ensembl:lncRNA
GGAUUCCCAGCUGGCAUGCAUGAUGAACGAAAACAGCAUUGAUUAUAUAUCUCGGUUCAAUGACCUGGCUCAAGAGCUGUCCAUCACUGAGCCUGGGCGCCGAGAGGCUCUGUUUGAUAGUGGUGGAAGCGGCCCUUCUGUUGGGGACCUCUCGCAGUGACCAUGCCUUGUAGGGAGGGUAACCUGGAGGCUGUAGAGAAGGCUUAGUGUGCUAGCUGUCCUCACCUGUGGCAGAUAAAAUCCUCUUCAACUUAAAGGAAGAAGGCAAGUCCAGAAUCCUCAGAAGACUGUCUCUGGACCCCAGGGUGUGCAGCAUGCAAGAGCUGUCCAGCUAUCCCAGAGCCCCAUCCCAGCAAGCAGGGACCAUAAUGAGCAAGUAUGACCUCUGAGAAGGGCCAAUAUCAGGAACUACCCCAUUCUCCGUCCUCCUGGGACCUGUCCUGGGGUCUGCUUGGCUAUUCUACACUGCCUCUCCUGUGGCAUGGAUUACCUCAGCAGGAUGCCUUUCAAGAAGGGUGUGCCCAUAGUUGUUGCAUCCUGGGAGCUGUAAUCUAAGGGAGAUUCUGGGCCGUUCCUUUCUUUCUGACAUCCUUUUGCCCUUUUUGGUCACUCUGUUAUGAUGCUGAGGGGGACAGUGGCUGUAGCCUGAGCUUCUGUGUGGUGGUAUCCACAUCCUGACAGUGCAAACACUUCAAAGGGUGCCCUGAUCAUGGGCCAAAGAAGGGUCCUAGGGCAGUAUAAUCAGUGUCAUCUCCCCAGAAUACUCCUUUCCUAGUGCUUUUCCCACCAGAAGUUUUGUUCUGACUGACAUAACAGAAACAGGAAAGGGAAUCAUGUCUUAUGCAGGUUGCGUGGAUGUUUUUUUAGGAUCCUGCUAAGCUGGUUGAAAAUGUUUUUCUUGUUUUCAAGAAUUAGGAGACAGACACAGAAGAGCGGAAUCCUCUAUCUGUUUUCUUUCCUGUGUCCCUAUCCAGGUUCAUCCUAAGUGAGAUCUGUUUUUCUCCCUACUGGGCUCACCCCAAAGCACUAAUAUGAUUACAGGCAAGAUUUUCCUCGUACCUUCUUUAGCCUUUCAUGUGUUACUGUUUGGCAUCUAAGACAUCUGCAUUUGUAGGGAAGGCUUUGUCUUUUUAGAGGCUUCCUCCUUUUGCUGUUGUUGGCAUAGUGUAUUCCUCCGUAUACAAUUAGUCCCUCAUACAUGCCUUUGUCUCCACGACUCAAGGAGCUUAGCAAGGAUUUAGAUGUUCAAGUGUAGUCAGAGUUGACCAACCUAUGGCCUUCUGGUUGUUACUCCCACGUGGAACUCCAUGGUGGCCAAUUAUUACAACUGCAGGUGGUCCAGCAUCCAGUCUUGCCCUAGAAGGGGCCAACAUGAGCUCCUUUUUCUUCUCAACCUCAGGAGGUCUAAGUGCACAAAUCACCAGUUGUAUCUCUUGUAGUGGUGUGGGCAGAUGGUCCCCAUGUUGCCCUCUCACUUGUUCACCCUCUAUCCACAGCAGUCAAGAUUGUCAUUUCUAACCCACCUGAAUGUGCCAAUCCCUCUCCUCCCCUCCUCUAUUCUCCCUUCCUUCACUUGCAUGGUUCCCCUUAAAGCCAGAUCCCACCCCCAGCUGUCUUCUGUCUCCCAUCGGUAGUGAAAAAGAGAGCCAGUGUAUAAGGAGGAGGAAAGGUAACUGGUAUAGACCAUCCUGUCAUCUCACUGCCCCCACUCUAGACUACAGGCAUCAAUGGAGGAAAUAGAACAGCAGCUCUGGGGCCAGGGAUUUAGCUCAGUGGUGCAGCGCCUGCCUUGAAAGCACAAGGUCCUGAGUUCAAUCCCCUGUACCGCAAAAAAAAACCCAAAACAAUAGCUCUAGACAGCAGCUUCCUUUUUUUGCCACAUUCCUCCUGGUGCUUGCCUCCUCCAGAUCUUUUUCCCCUCUUUUUGCAUCACUAGGGGUUGAACACAGGGCCUUCACUCUGAGAUACUUGCCCAUCCAUUUCAUUUCAUAGACAGGGUCUCACUAAGUUGCCCAAGAUGGGCUUGAACUCAUGAUCCUCUUGUCUCAGCCUCCCGAGUGCUGGGAUUACUGGUGUGCACCACCAUGCCCUGCUCCUCCAGCUCUUGAAAUUAUGCUACAGCUCCCUGACACUCUGUAGUCUCUAAUCUCGGAAGAGAUGAAAACAGGAACAUGACACCACCUUAUUAGGAGGUAGACAGCCAUGUUUGAACUAGGGUAUCUUGUGUUUUGUACCUAAUGUCAGCUUCCUGAAGUUAGCACUGCAUUGAGCUGAAGAUUUUCACAUCUCUCUGGUCUGCAGUACGUAAGGAUACCAGGCUGAGCUUGGGCUUCUGCUAGCUUCCUUACACUCAACAGUCUGGGGCCAUAGAUGCUGGCAUUGUGCCCCGUUGACACAUGCAUUGUGCUAGGCAGUCUCCGUUCCAAACUGCUUCACAUCAGGCACUCAUUAUCCUAUGAACUCUUAAAAAGAACAAAACUCUGGAUAUUAGGAACAGUGUCAUAGGCUCUUUGUGUGGCAGCACCACCCACCCUGGCGAAGACUGAGCUUGGGAGCUGCCAGCUAUAGCUGUUGUCACCCAGUGGCAGGUGACAUCUUUCCUACAGUCAGUCUGAUGGAUUUCAGAGAUUUUUGCAGUUUCUCUAGCAGCCAGACAGGUAUUCUCAUUUGCUUGCUAUGUUUAAGGGGGUAAAAACUGUCAUUCAUAGCAGAGAAAACAGUAGAUGUCUUUUUUGCCUUGCCUAAGUGAAGAUAUAUAAAAGAGGCAACUGUAAAAGGAUGGAAUUUUCAAAAGAUCUAGUUAGAGAAGUUUCCCAGUUUCUUUUAACUGCCUCUGCCAUUCCAGCAGAGUUGUGCAGUCCAGUGUGAAUCUAUGACAUCCUUUGUGCAUUUGAGCACGUGUAUUUGAGACAAGAUCACUUUCUUAGAAAAAAAUCUCCCUAAUCUCUUUAAUAAUGUCUCUGGAAUCUUUUUGCUGAUUCAUCUUUUCUAAAGAUUGAGACCUAGUAUCUCUGGAAUCAAAAGAAGUUGGUGUUUGGCCUUGAUUCUUUAUUGCAAAUAUAGAGUAAUGAGCAUUCCAUCCUCAAAAAGACCCAGAGCCACGUUGAAGUUCAUUUUUCUGUAUUCUGUAGGAUAGAGUGUUGGUCAGGGAGUGGCCAUCUUUGGGGACUUUUUACCAGUCUGUCAAGCCUGGUUUUCCACACCUCCAGGAUCUUAGUCUUGGACUCCUGUUCUUUUUCAUUGUGUGUGGUGGCUUUACUUCUGGAGGAGGUCCUUUCGACUUACUAGCAUCUUUAAUUAGACUAUGCCAUUGAGUCCAGAUUUAUUCUACAGGAGCUGGAAACAAGUGAGGAGGGAAAAGUUAUAUCUGCUUUUUAAACACUGGGGUCUGUUGGAUGUAUUCAUGAGGAAAUACAGCACUUUCUCUUAAGGGAAAAAAAAUUUUUAAAGAAAAAUCCCACAGUACACCUUUCUGAGCUGUCAGAAUUCUCCCAGUCUCCCAGUAACUCUUUGGUCCUGUGAGGUCACUCUAGUCCUGCAAGCACUACACCAACCCACCUCUGCACUGUCAGAUGGGAUUCCUGGUUGUAGCCUGCGGUGUGGGCUGCAGAACUUGUGCUGUUUGCUUUAAUAAUCGUUAAGCCAUAUCAUGUAAGGUUUCUGGCUUGUUUGAGAUGUGAAUUUGUUUUAUAGAUUAUAAAUAUACAUAUACAGUGUAAAAAGCAGAAUGCCUGUCCUUCCUGAUUAUUUUUUGUACCAUAUUGUAAAUUAUAUUAUUUAUUCUUUACCAAUUUUGGGAAUAAAAGGUGUUUUGGUUAUUUAAUAUAAUAAAAGCU